rnacentral:rRNA from 1 species
AUACCCUCAGAUGGGAGUAGCUAUUAGAAAUAGUAGAUAAUACCGAAUACGAGCACAGGGGGUUAGAGAUCUGUGAGGAAAGGAGCUAAGGCUCCGCUGAAGGAAUGGCCUGCGGCCCAUUAGCUAGUUGGUGAGGUAAGAGCCCACCAAGGCGAUGAUGGGUAUCCGGCCUUAGAGGGUGAACGGACACAUUGGGACUGAGAUACGGCCCAGACUCCUACGGGAGGCAGCAGCUAAGAAUAUUCCGCAAUGGACGAAAGUCUGACGGAGCGACGCCGCGUGGAUGAAGAAGGCCGGAAGGUUGUAAAAUCCUUUUGAAACUGAAGAAUAAGCGUUGUAGGGAAUGACAGCGUGGUGACAGUAGGUUUUGAAUAAGCAACGGCUAAUUACGUGCCAGCAGCCGC